UUACGGCCAUAUCACGUUGAAACACUAGUUCUCAUUCGAUUACUGACGUUAAACAACGUCGAGCCUGCUCAGUAUCUAGACGGGUGACCGUUUGUGAACGC